rnacentral:lncRNA from 1 species
CUCUCCCCUUUUAGAGUCUGCCUCAGAUUACUAUGCCUUUUUAAUCAAAACAAUAUUUUAAACACCCUCUUUAGAACACUGUUCUUCCAAACACUGUGCAAUCAGCUGAGGGACACCUGCCUGCGACUCUAAGCCUCUGAUAGUCCUUCCCAGUGAACUCGGUGUCACCUCCUGUGGAGUAAGUACUCAGGUUCCACUCCUGACAGACUGGAGAGUUCUCUUCUUCCCCAGCCCGACCCUCCCCAGCCUCUAGAGAAGCGGGACUAAACCAUCGGCCUCACUGGCUGUGUUGCCCGGCCACCCGAGCGCGCGGGGCCAUCGCUGGGCAUCCCCUCCCUCUACAGCCAGAGAGACAGCGCACCCUCCGGCCUCGGGAGCAGCGGCGCCCAGCGAUCCCGGGCAGGGCUCUCCUAGGCCGCCAGUGACAUCACUGGCGAAGCGGAUUCCAGGCGCCCGGCUCCUGGUUUUUAGAGUGAUGUGUGUCGGUUAGUCCGUCUCUGUCGGCCGCUGAAGAGGGCCCAUCGUCGGUUCCGCACCGCGGAGCGACAGGACCCGGAGGAGGAAGGAGAGCGGAGGCAGCGAGGGAAGGAGGACCGACCCCGGCAGGGGACCCGCGUGCGGUGCAGCCCCGCGCACUUCCCUCAGCCUCGCUGCUGGCGCUGUCAGGAAUACUUCUGCUGUCAGACUAUAAAAGAAGAAAAAGAGCUUUGUUCUAAUGGUAAUGACAAGAAAAAUAGACAAAAAUAUAAGAAUCAUAUUUUUCUAUGAUGUAGAGAAGAGUGGAGGAUUGAAAGAAGCUAAAUGAACUGAAUUUUAUAGAGAAACAAACCCUUCAGAGAAGAGGAGAGAGCAGUAGCUACUUCUUUCUGAGGGUCAUUGCCAGUUUGGGAUUCAGAAUACCAUGGGAAGAGUGAGGAUGCCAAGAGCUAGUUGAAAUGGACUGUAGACUGGAGGAACCCCAGCUCAGCCAAGCAACUGUGCCUCUCUCCCCAUCCCACCCUUGAGAAAAAACAGUGGAUAAAGACCCGGUAACUAAAGAGAAGUCGCCCAGUCUUGGCCAUUCUCUAAAUGACUGGAUUGCAGAACUUUGUGGAAUUGAAACCAGUAAUGAAGCAAGCCUAUCUGAAAAUGCAGCCAAGUCUUCUAGCUCAAGUACAGACACCACUGAAAGCUAGCAGAACAUAGCAGAGACCAGAAUAGAGUCAAAAAUUAGACCCGUACUUAUAUAACCCAUUGAUUUCAACAAACACUUCAAAUGCACUUAAAAGGGAAAAGAGAAGUCCCUUUAGAAAUGUUGGGAAAACUUCCUUUCCAUAUGGAAAAAAAAAAAGAACUGAUCUCUAUUAUAUGCCAAACACAGAAAUGAAUUUGCGAUAGAUCAUACCCUUAACGUAAAAGCUAAAAUUAUAAAACUUAUAAAAGAAAGAUAGGUGAUGUAGGAGUCUGCCUCUAAUCUGUCAUCCCUUACAGUUGUACCUGCCGUGGGACAGACACUGCAGCUGUGUCCCCACCAGCUUUAGCCUCUCUGUCAGUGACAAGUCCCCACAUCUGGGAGCUACAUAGACAUGUAGACACUGCCCUGGGGGUAGCUACUGCACAGGAGCCAAAGCUGAGCAGAGACAAGACCUCACUUUUCUUCAGGGAGAC